AGCUAGCCUACACACCAACUUAACUAGACCUAAUAAAUCUAAUUUACACUACAAUUUCCAAUCAAAAUAUUCUAAACCUUUUAGUAUGGGCGACAGAACAAUAACCUUAGUGCAAUAGCUUAUGUACCGCAAGGGAAAGCUGAAAAAGAAAUGAAAUAAAUCAUUAAAGUACUAAAAAGCAGAGUUUAUAUCUCGUACCUUUUGCAUCAUGAUUUAGCUAGAAAAAUUAGGCAAAAAGAUUUUAAGUCUACCUUCCCGAAACUAAACGAGCUACUCCGAAGCAGCAUUAUAGAGCCAACCCGUCUCUGUGGCAAAAGAGUGGGAAGACUUCCGAGUAGCGGUGAAAAGCCUACCGAGUUUAGUGAUAGCUGGUUACCCAAAAAAAGAACUUCAGUUCUGCAUUAAUUUUUUUCACCUAAACAAGACUUCCUUAUUAAAGGAAUCCAUAAGAAUUAAUAGUUAUUUAGAAGAGGUACAGCCCUUCUAAACCAAGAUACAACUUUUUAAGAUGGGAAAUGAUCACAAUCAUUAAGGUUAUCCUCCUCAGUGGGCCUAAAAGCAGCCACCUGUAAAGCAAGCGUCGCAGCUCUAGCUCAACAAUUAAACCUUUAAUUUUGAUACUCAUUCACUACCCUCUUUAUCCUAUUGGGUUAUUUUAUAAAAAUAUAAAAGAACUUAUGCUAAAAUGAGUAAUAAAGAGAACAAAUCUCUCCCGACACAAGUGUAUAUCAGAAGAAUUAAAUCACUGAUAAUUAAACGGCCCCAAACUGAGGCCAUUAUACCCCUUAAAUAUUAACUAGAAAACCCUAUUUUUUCACCCGUUA
rnacentral:rRNA from 1 species